rnacentral:misc_RNA from 1 species
UCUCCGUAGGUGAACCUGCGGAGGGAUCACUACAGGCUUGCAAAAGCUCUGAAACCACUGUUUAUCUACCUGAAUCUGCUUCGGCGGGCGGCCCCAGGGCGGGGCCGUAGCCGCAAGGCGCCCGCCGAAGACCCCUAAACUCUGUCGUCUUGAGAAUCUCUGAGUAUCAUAUUAAACAGAAAACGACUUUCAACAACGGAUCUCUUGGCUCUG